CUUCUUCUGAAUAAUUUAUUGCAAUAUAAAUAUAAAUCCCUUUUGACAAGAGAAAUCUGACUUUUGUCAGAAAUAUUUUUUCACAUGUGCAAAAGUAAAAACAUUUUUAUGGACGCCAUAUUGGAUUUUUAUACAAUUUGAGAGGAAGCCUCUAGAACCAUGACCUAAAAAUAAAGUCUUCAGAAAACGUUAACUUUAUGCAAUUAUAUUUUAUCAAUAAUGAUUAUUUUCAAAAAUUUAAACUUGAUUAUUUAAAGAAAUAAAA
rnacentral:lncRNA from 1 species